GUCGAGCGAAGCAUUUUAAAGGAAGUUUUCGGAUGGAAUUUGAAAUGACUGAGCGGUGGACGGGUGAGUAACGCGUGGGUAACCUGCCUCAUACAGGGGGGUAACAGUUAGAAAUGACUGCUAAUACCGCAUAAGCACACAGUACCGCAUGGUACGGUGUGAAAAACUCCGGUGGUAUGAGAUGGACCCGCGUCUGAUUAGCUAGUUGGCGGGGUAACGGCCCACCAAGGCGACGAUCAGUAGCCGACCUGAGAGGGUGACCGGCCACAUUGGGACUGAGACACGGCCCAAACUCCUACGGGAGGCAGCAGUGGGGAAUAUUGCACAAUGGGGGAAACCCUGAUGCAGCAACGCCGCGUGAGUGAAGAAGUAUUUCGGUAUGUAAAGCUCUAUCAGCAGGGAAGAAAGUGACGGUACCUGACUAAGAAGCCCCGGCUAACUACGUGCCAGCAGCCGCGGUAAUACGUAGGGGGCAAGCGUUAUCCGGAUUUACUGGGUGUAAAGGGAGCGUAGACGGCACAGCAAGUCUGAAGUGAAAUCCCCGGGCUCAACCCGGGAACUGCUUUGGAAACUGUUGGGCUGGAGUGCUGGAGAGGCAAGCGGAAUUCCUAGUGUAGCGGUGAAAUGCGUAGAUAUUAGGAGGAACACCAGUGGCGAAGGCGGCUUGCUGGACAGUAACUGACGUUGAGGCUCGAAAGCGUGGGGAGCAAACAGGAUUAGAUACCCUGGUAGUCCACGCCGUAAACGAUGCAUACUAGGUGUCGGGGAGCAAAGCUUUCCGGUGCCG
rnacentral:rRNA from 1 species